UUUUUUACUUAUAAAACGAUAAAAAUAUUUUAUUUAUAAAAUGCAAAGGAGGAAAAAUAUGUCUCGGAUUCUAGUGUUUGUUUAUGAUUUAAUCAUCUUUCUUUCUAUAUUUUUUCUUGUGACCGGUAAAACCACAGUUCCUUGUACUUCAGAUAAGGAUUGUCCAGAAACAAUACUUCAUAAAAUUUGGCAAUGCAUUGAUAACUUUUGUGUGGUCAAGAUGACUGGUUCAAUGUGUCCUGGUUGUUAAGAGUUUAGUAAUUUAAUUGUAAGAAUAUUUUAUUUUUAUGUUGAACUGCGAUUUCGAACCGAAUCACCAUAUUUUACCA